rnacentral:rRNA from 1 species
UACGUAGGGCGCAAGCGUUGUCCGGAAUUAUUGGGCGUAAAGAGCUCGUAGGCGGUUUGUCGCGUCUGUCGUGAAAGCUUGGGGCUUAACCCCAAGUCUGCGGUGGAUACGGGCAGACUAGAGGCAGGUAGGGGAGAACGGAAUUCCCGGUGUAGCGGUGAAAUGCGUAGAUAUCUGGAGGAAUACCGGUGGCGAAGGCGGCAUCCUGGACCGGCAUUGACGCUGAGGAGCGAAAGCGUGGGGAGCAAACGGG